GACGAACGCUGGCGGCGUGCUUAACACAUGCAAGUCGAACGGAAAGGCCCUGCUUUUGUGGGGUGCUCGAGUGGCGAACGGGUGAGUAACACGUGAGUAACCUGCCCUUGACUUUGGGAUAACUUCAGGAAACUGGGGCUAAUACCGGAUAGGAGCUCCUGCUGCAUGGUGGGGGUUGGAAAGUUUCGGCGGUUGGGGAUGGACUCGCGGCUUAUCAGCUUGUUGGUGGGGUAGUGGCUUACCAAGGCUUUGACGGGUAGCCGGCCUGAGAGGGUGACCGGCCACAUUGGGACUGAGAGACGGCCCAGACCCCUACGGGAGGCAGCAGGGGGGAAUAUUGCACAAUGGGCGGAAGCCUGAUGCAGCAACGCCGCGUGCGGGAUGACGGCCUUCGGGUUGUAAACCGCUUUCGCCUGGGACGAAGCGGGGGUGACGGUAAUGGGUAAAGAAGCACCGGCUAACUACGU
rnacentral:rRNA from 1 species